rnacentral:miRNA from 1 species
UAUAAGACUAGUGCUAAUGUAAUUGCAGUUUUUGCUUUUAAUGGCAAAACUGUUGUUACUUUGGCACCAACCCAGUA